UACGUAGGGUGCGAGCGUUGUCCGGAAUUACUGGGCGUAAAGAGCUCGUAGGUGGUUUGUCGCGUUGUUCGUGAAAACUCACAGCUUAACUGUGGGCGUGCGGGCGAUACGGGCAGACUGGAGUACUGCAGGGGAGACUGGAAUUCCUGGUGUAGCGGUGGAAUGCGCAGAUAUCAGGAGGAACACCGGUGGCGAAGGCGGGUCUCUGGGCAAUAACUGACGCUGAGGAGCGAAAGCGUGGGGAGCGAACAGG
rnacentral:rRNA from 1 species